rnacentral:rRNA from 1 species
UACGUAGGGGGCUAGCGUUGUCCGGAAUCAUUGGGCGUAAAGCGCGCGUAGGCGGCCCGGUAAGUCCGCUGUGAAAGUCCAGGGCUCAACCCUGGAAAGCCGGUGGAUACUGCCGGGCUAGAGUCCGGAAGAGGCGAGUGGAAUUCCUGGUGUAGCGGUGAAAUGCGCAGAUAUCAGGAGGAACACCGGUGGCGAAGGCGGGUCUCUGGGCCGAUACUGACGCUGAGGAGCGAAAGCGUGGGGAGCGAACAGG